ACUUGUCUUCCAACAGCUCUCCAUUUUUGGCACUUAUUCCCUCUCUGUUCUUCUAAAUUAGGUCAGCUCUGUUGACCUUCAGGGCACACUGCAGUAGCUGAAGCUUUUAUUCAUGCUUUAGAAGAAAGGCAAGAGGAGGAAGCAACACGCGUGCAGGGAAUAGCAAGCAGCUAGCAGGAUUUUGACAUCAAGUACACUGCUAAUUUUAACACUGAAAACAAAAGCGUGUUCAGCGCUCUUCAGCUAUGUCUGCUGAGGUACCUUUCGAUAGAGCUGAGCUCUGCGCAUCUUUGAAUACCAAGGAACAAGAAGAACAGCUGAUAUGAAUGAAAGAAGCAGCUGAUCCUACUCUCAUGGAGGCAUCUAAGGGUUGUUUAAAGUGAGUUCUAACAGGCCAAUAAGACAUCUCAUCCUUUUUUUUUUUAAGCAGAUUUCUUUUACUGGACCACCCUUUUACGGUUCAGGAGCAUAAAGCUUUUUAUUCUCAUCUUCUUUGCAGAGGUUUUUGUCCUUGUCAGCAAGCAACUAAUGCUCCUUUUGAGUAGAGCAUUAAAUAAUCUAAUCAACUUCCAUUCCACCUAGUUUGUUCUCACUUCCACAAGCGACAUGAGUUGCUUCUGUUGGGUGCUGUUUCAGUGUAUUUAAGGGUAUUCCAGUUAUAUACACAGAUACUUAUAUUAGAGAAGGGAUCAUCAAAAAGUAGUAGGAAAGCUCACUGUGCCUGAAAGGUGGAGCUGUGUGCAUUCCCAGAAGCUCAAGUAACCUGUUUGGGAAGCCUCUGCCUCCUGCUCCUUUUGGCCUUGGCAACAACCCACCAAAGCCUUGAACUUGGUACAGAAUUCACAGCUGAUGAGGAAAUAGUCCUCUCUUUCCUGCUCUUUACUAGUGAUUCAGCUUAAUGGUACAUUAAGCAGGAAAAAAAAAGGGGGGGGGGGAGAGAUUGGUAAAAGACCACGACUUCAUCUUGGUUCAUCCCUAGUGAAGGCAUGUGCUACAGAAAUGCACAAGGAGUCUGCAGGGCUCUCUCAUGGCUGUUUUUAUGGACCCCGUUGAAUCCUCAGCUAGAAAUAGCAGCCUCACUUAAUCUUCAACAAAGCACAAUUAGAUUUAUGUAACAGCAACAAACAAAAGCUCUAGAAAAUGUAUCAGUUAACUUCUCUUUUCUUAAGGGAAAAGAAUUAAAUAUCACCCUUAAUUCCAUCAAAGGACGUGGGCAUCCAAAUAAGUUACCACAUGGCAAAACUAGGGUACAGAUUUACUACACACAUCAGCACUCCAUAGUAACUGUCCACCUUCACCCUCUUACCCUAUAUUAAUUGUAAGGUAGCUUCUCAGUGAGAGGAAAAGGAUUAGGUAUCAGAACAAUUUAUAGGCAUUUUUCUCCCAGAGUUGUUAACCUCUGGAAAGAAAAAUAUUCUUCCAGGCCUAACAGCUCUUUUGUUAUUUUCAAGCAGUUUGUUUUUAAAAAGCUAUGAAAAUAACAUCUUGGUGUAAUUAGUUACAGUCCUAUACA